AAUUGGAAUGAGUACACCUUAAAUCGUUUAACGAGUAUCAAUUGGAGGGCAAGUCUGGUGCCAGCAGCCGCGGUAAUUCCAGCUCCAAUAGCGUAUAUUAAAGUUGCUGCAGUUAAAAAGCUCGUAGUUGGAUCUGGGGCUUGAGGUCGCUGUCUAUCGUUUCGGCGAUGACGGUGAUGCUCAGCUCUGCUUGCCGGUGACUGUUGCGGUGUUCUUCACUGAGCGCUGUAGCAGCACGGCACGUUUACUUUGAAAAAAUUAGAGUGCUCAAAGCGUGCUUGUCGCUUGAAUAAUGUUGCAUGGAAUAAUGGAAUAGGACCUCGGUUCUAUUUUGUUGGUUUUCGGAGCUUGAGGUAAUGAUUAGGAGGGACGAACGGGGGCAUUCGUAUUGCGGUGUUAGAGGUGAAAUUCUUGGAUCGCCGCAAGACGGACUACUGCGAAAGCAUUUGCCAAGAACGCUUUCAUUAAUUAAGAACGAAAGUCAGAGGUUCGAAGACGAUCAGACACCGUCCUAGUUCUGACCAUAAACGAUGCCGACCAGCGAUCCGUAGUGGUUGCUUUAUGGACCCUACGGGCAGCCUCCGGGAAACCAAAGUAUUUGGGUUCCGGGGGAAGUAUGGUUGCAAAGCUGAAACUUAAAGGAAUUGACGGAAGGGCACACCAGGAGUGGAGCCUGCGGCUUAAUUUGACACAACACGGAAAAACUCACCCGGUCCGGACACCGUAAGGAUUGACAGACUGAUAGCUCUUUCUUGAUUCGGUGGAUGGUGGUGCAUGGCCGUUCUUAGUUGGUGGAGUGAUUUGUCUGGUUAAUUCCGAUAACGAACGAGACUCUAGCCUGCUAAGUAGUGUUGCUAUUGUUAUAUGGUUGACACUUCUUAGAGGGACAAGUGGCAUUUAGCCACGCGAAAUUGAGCAAUAACAGGUCUGUGAUGCCCUUAGAUGUCCGGGGCCGCACGCGCGCUACACUGGAGAAGUCAGCGUGUGUUAUCCAAGUCCGAAAGGACUGGGUAAUCCGUUGAACCUUCUUCGUGCUUGGGACUGUGGCUUGGAACUAUUCCACAUGAACGAGGAAUUCCUAGUAAUUGCAAGUCAUAAGCUUGCGUUGAUUACGUCCCUGCCCUUUGUACACACCGCCCGUCGCUACUACCGAUUGAAUGGUUUAGCAAGGUCCUCGGAUCGUGGCCGUAGGGGCACGCAAGUGUUUCUGCGGUUUGCGAGAAGACGACCAAACUUGAUCAUUUAGA
rnacentral:rRNA from 1 species